UACGAAGGGGGCUAGCGUUGCUCGGAAUGACUGGGCGUAAAGGGCGCGUAGGCGGAUGACGCAGUCAGAUGUGAAAUUCCCGGGCUUAACCUGGGGGCUGCAUUUGAUACGUGUUGUCUAGAGUGAGGAAGAGGGUUGUGGAAUUCCCAGUGUAGAGGUGAAAUUCGUAGAUAUUCGGAAGAACACCAGUGGCGAAGGCGGCUCACUGGACCGGUAUUGGACGCUGAUGUGCGAAAGCGUGGGGGAGCAAACAGGG
rnacentral:rRNA from 1 species